rnacentral:tRNA from 1 species
GCUCGGGUAGCUCAGCGGGAGAGCACUGCUUUCACACAGCAGGGGUCCCUGGUUCGAUCCCAGGUCCGAGCA